UCCUGGCGACAAUAGCGGUUUGGAACCACCUGAUCCCAUCUCGAACUCAGAAGUGAAACGAACAUGCGCCGAUGAUAGUGUGAGGCUUCCUC
rnacentral:rRNA from 2 species